rnacentral:lncRNA from 1 species
AUGAAGUGCUUUAUUGCCUUAUGGCAAACGAGCUGGGCUGGGGGGGGGGCGCGGGGCCAGGGUCCCCAUGGGGCCACCCCGCUGCCCCUUCGUGCACCAGGGGGCUGGGGUGGGGGUUUGGGGGCUUCUUGCUGCCCUGUGGGGAGCCCCUGGAGCCCCACUUUUCCCCCAUAUGAACCCCGUUUGUUUCCCCACGGGAAGCCCACAGCCACCCCCCUGGAACCCCAUUGCCUCCCCGCUGCUGCCCCAUGGGAACUCUCCUGCUGUCCCACAAAAAUCCCGUUGCUCCCCCCGCAGAUUCCCCAUUGGAACCCCCCAGACCCCCCUGGGGACCCCUCUGCUGCCCCACAGCCCUCGGUGCCGACCCCAAGGCGCCGUCCCACGGCUCUCCGAGGGCUGAUCCUGGCAGGACCCUGCUUUAGGGGUCCCCACAGUCCCCCUGAGCCCCCCAAAGCAAUCACACCUGCAGGACCCCGGUGCCCCCAGGAGCCCCGAGCCCCCUCCAGCGCCUUGGGGCCGGGGUCUCCAUCUCCCCCCCACCUGCCCUGCCCCGAGGCCGCCGCCGUUUGUGUGAGAACCUCGGCGCCUUUCAGGGCCCUCGGCCCCUCAAAGGGGGCAGCCAGGCAGAAAGACAAAGGCUCGGCGCGCCUGGGGGGCACGGGGGGGCCGGGCACGGCCGGCGGGCACGGAGCGAGGGGCCGCAGCAAGGUGCAGAGGCUGCAAGGAGCGAGUGUGCAACGGCGCUGUGCAUGCACGGGAGUGUGCAUGGGUGUGCAAAUGCAUGCACAGGAACGCGUGCAUGUGUGGACAAGUGUGCAUGCACCAGAUGCUUGCUUGCACCGAGUGUGUGUGCGUGCACAGGAACAUGUGCACGUGUNNNNNNNNNNGUGUGUGUGCAUGCGUGCACGUGUGUGUGUGUGCGCAUGCACUGGAUGCUUGCUUGCACAGCAGUGCAUACACAUGAGUGUGUGCAUGUGUGUGCACCAACUUUACCUCUUGCACAGGUGUGCACAGCCCAGCAGUGUGCAUGCACAGGAGCUGCAAACAUGAGCGCAGGCCAUGUUCACGUGCACACUCGUGUGUGUGCAUGAGUGCAUGCACCAGAUGCUUGCACAGGAGCACAUGCACGUGUAUGUGCAUGCACCAGAUGCUUGCUUGCACAGCAGUGCAUGCACAUGAGUGUGUGCACGUGUGUGCACCAACUUUACCUCUUGCACAGGUGUGCACAGCCCAGCAGUGUGCAUGCACAGGAGCUGCAAACAUGAGCGCAGGCCAUGUUCACGUGCACACUCGUGUGUGUGCAUGCGUGCACGGGUGUGUGUGUGUGCAUGCACUGGAUGCUUGCUUGCACAGGAGUGCAUGCACAUGAGUGUGUGCACGUGUGUGCACCAACUUUACCACUGCACGGGUGUGCACAGCCCAGCACUGAGUGUGCACAGGAGCUGCAAACACGAGCAUAGACCAUGUCCUUGUGCACACCCAUGUGUGUGCAUGCAUGCACGGGUGUGUGUGUGUGCACGGGUGUGUGCAUGCACGGGUGUGUGUGCCCUUGCACAUGCAGCCGCGUGCACCCUCCCCGAGCGCGCCCAUGCCAGGCUCCGUGCAUUUCGGCUCAGCCUUCGCACCCCAGCCCCCUCCUCCUCCUCCUCCUCCUCCCCUCGCUGCCCUUUGCACAAAGGCCUGGGCUGCAGAUGUGCGGCCGCUGCUCUCCCCCCACGGGGGGGGGGGUCCCAGGGUGCCCCCGUUCCCCCCACCCAUGGGCGAGCCGGGAGCUGGCGGCGCCUCUGCCCUCGUUAUUUCCUCUUCAUUUCUGGGGCUGUCAGAAUUACGGAGCAGGGCUGUUUAUUGGCUUGAGUUUAAUUAAUUUGUGUAAUAUCCCUGUUAGGAACAAUGUCUAAUUAAGACUUUUGUUUGUGUGUGCGCGCCGGGGGGAGGGGACUUCUUCUUUGGGAAAGAGGGGGAAAAAAAAAAAUAAAAAAAAAAAAUAGAAAAACCAAAUUCCCUAAUCAUUAAUGGAGGGGAAAGAAAUAUUUAAACGGGGCUGGCACCCUUCCACCGAGCUGCUGGUAAGCGCUCUCGUUACAGAUGUCUUAAUGAGACAUCUCUUAAUAAUGGGAUUAUCAUUCACAUUGAAUCGGGACGAGCAGCUGGGAGCGCCAGCCUCCGAUACGGGGCCCCGAGAGGAUGGGGCAGAGCGGCCCCGUGCUGAGGGAUGGGGAUGGGACCCCCCCAGUGCCACGGGGCAGGACCCCCCCCCUCGAAUUUAUCCUGGUGCUGGGUAAAUCCAGCAUGUUUUGGGGUGCUGGGCUCACCCCCUGGCAAAGGGGGGGUUCGGUGGAAACCUCGACUGGGGCGCGGUGACCCCUUUGAAACCACAAGGGUUUUUUUUUUUUUUGGGGGGGGGCACCCUUGUUGUCCCCCCCACCUCAUGGCCCCUCGCUCCCUUCCCCCUCCGCUCCAGAAAAUAGGGGCAGGAAUCUCAGCCCACCCCGACCCCGUGGCCACCACCAAAAAAUUUGGGGUCCUGGGUGGGGAAUGGGUUGGGAUGGGGGGGGUCUGCAGGGCACCCACCCCCCCCACCAGCACCCCCGGGGCGGUGACACCAGGGGGUCCCGUGGGGUUUCGUGCCCACCAAGGCCAGCUUGGCCAAAUGGGGUUGACCCCAGUGCCGGGGUCCCCAUGGGGUGGCAACAUGGGAACACCGUGGGGGCCGCCCUGGAGCCCCCCCCUCGCCGCCGGCCCCUGCGAGUCCCGCAAAGGAGAAGCUGGAGCAGCCCUGGCUGCGCUCCUGCGGUCAGAGCCCAGCAAUGAUCCUACAAGCCUGGAAUUUGAGGAAUUUCCUGCCAAGGCUCUCUGGAAGAAGAGGGAGAGAAAGGAAACCCGGCCUUAACCCUCAGCUCCCCGCGCCCGGCCCCGAAUCCCCGAUCCCACAACGGGCAGGGGCUGGCACGGGGCGGAGAGGGGGGGCUGCAGGCACUUUUUGGGGUGCCCCUGGAUUUUUUGGGGUGCUCCCCGUUCGCUUUGGCCACGCUGCGUGCAGAGCCCUGGCCCCACAGCCCUCCCCGAGGCCCCGUGCCUCAGUUUCCCCCAAAUCUCUGCCAAAAAUCCCUGGNNNNNNNNNNCCCCGCCGUGCCCCCCACCCCAUCCCCA